ACACCUCCUUGUUCUCCCUGCAGGAAUGAAGAGUUGCAUGGGGCUCGCUCGUUUUCUCUGGAGUUAGUUGCGUCCUAUACAGGGUCGUGUCGAGGUCGUCCUAAACCGUGGCCACUUUCCUGAGUGCACAGCCCGCAGUAGCGCCACAAGACCACCUCCCCCCGGCCCCGGCCUCAUCCCCACCUCCAGGGAAGAGUCCAGAGCCACAGAAUUAGCUCCUAGAACGCAACCAACAAGAGUCCAGAUGAACCCGCUCUAUUGGGAAACUCACAGUUUUUCAUCUACUCUGGGCACCACAACGUAUUUGCAGGGGCCACAGCAAAAACUACCCUUGAUCAAGCUACGUGCCCCAGCCUGAAGCACAGCAAAUAAACAUCCUGCACAGAGGCAGUAAAAACAAGGGUACAUCUGACAAAGAAUGCACCACACCUGGACAAUUAUUACACAGCUAUACAGGGUGUGCUUGCACGCACGCAUGAAUACCUGUGCGUGGCACAGGGCCCCAGCGGCGGCUUGCUUAUGAUCCCUCCAAGGUGACCAAGCACUGAGCCACCCUGCCUCAGCAGUAAAAUAGACAUAUUUACCAGUCCCUUCAACCCACAGCCAGGAGCUAGGCAAACACCCACAGAGGAGGGAGGACACACUUUAACCCUACAUUCAGCUUGACGAGCCAAACUCUCUGAACCACAGGAGAUAAAACUUCUGCCAUGGAACUGCUAAGGUAGAUAAUCAGCAACCCCCCAAGACUGUGCCUGCUGCACAACUACAGAACGCAGUGGAAGACACGCUGAAUUCUGAGUCAGAAGGUUGACUUUCUAGCUGUGGGGACUUGGCCAAACCUCCUCAGAGCUUCAGUUUUCUCAUCUGUAAAAUAGAGAUCUUAAUCCCUACCAAUCUCACAGGACUGCUGAGAGUAUCAGAUGAGAUUCUCAAAGCAAUCCUGUAUGGUGAGAAUUAUUUUUAUUUUACCGACAAAGCUGCUGAAGAUCAGAGACAUUGAGUUACUCAUAGAAGAUAUACAGACAGAGCCAAGAUUCAAAUCCCUUGGGUGUCUGGCUCCAAAGUGGAAAUUUUCUCCACGGUGCCAAAGGACUCAUAAACAGAAUGUACAAAGGACUCUUACAAAUCAGUAAUAAAAGGACAAUCAAUGUUUUUAAACAAGCAGAAGACUUCGAUAAACACCACAUAAAAGAGAAUGCAUGCAUGGCCAAUGAGAACAUAAAAAAGAUGCUCAGCGUUGUUGGUCGUCAGGGAAGUGCAGAUUGAAAAUGCAAUGGGAUACCACUACACACCCGCCAGAAUGGUUAAAAUUUAAAAAUUUUAACAGUACCAAAUGUUAGAGAGGCUGUGAAGCAGCAGGAUGUUUUAUGCAUGGCCAGCAAAAGUAUAAAAUGGUAGAGCCAUUUGGAAAACUGGCAUUUUCUCAUAAAUAUUCACCUAUCAUGUGAUCUAAAAAUUCCAAAAGAAAUGAAACUAUAUGUCUACAAAAAAAGUUGGAUAAGAAUAUUCAUUGUAGCUUUAUUUCUUUUGUUGUUGUUGUUGAAACAGAGUCUCGCUCUGCCGCCCAGGCUGGAGUGCAGUGGAGCCGUCUCAGCUCACUGCAACCUCUGCCUCCCGGGUUCAAGCAAUUCUUGUGCCUCAGCCUCCCAGGUAGCUGGGACUACAGGCACGUGCCACCACACCUGGCUAAUUUUUGUAUUUUUAGUAGAGAUGGGGUUUCGCCAUAUUGGCCAGGCUGCUCUCGAACUCCUGACCUUGUGAUCCGCCUGCCUCGGCCUCCCAAAGUGCUGGGAUUACAGGCAUGAGCCACCGCACCUGGCCAUGGCUUUAUUUCUAAAAGCCAAACUUUGGAAACAAUGCCAAUGUCUAUCAAUAGACUAAAGAGAUAAAUUGAGAUUUUUCAUACUGUGAGAUAUUGCCCCACAAUAAAAAGGAGCAAACUAUUAAUGCAUACAACAACGUAGAUGAAUCUCAACAAUAUUAUGUUAAAUGAGAAGCACCAGACACAAAAGAGUACACACAAUGAACGACUCCACUUAUGUGAAGUCUAGCAACAGGAAAAACUCAUCUAUGGAAAUAGAAAUCAGAAUAGUCAUUGCCUGUGAGAAUGUAGAGGGAGGGUGGGCCACAGGAAAGGAGCAUGGGAAAAUUUUUUGGGUGAUGGCAAUUUUCACAUUUUGAUUAAACAAUUAAGUUUAAUCAAAUUAUACACUUAAGGUCUGUGCAUUUUACCAUAUGUAAUUAUGCUUUGAAUAAAAAUAAAUUAAAAUAAAGGGAUGAAAUGAGUUGCUUCUUCCAGUAUUAUGCUUUGGCACUGGAAGUAUUUAAGCUAGACUAAUGCUUAUCAGAGAUAUUGUGGACGGUUCAAAUUGGGAGUUCUGAUUAAGUAAUAAAAAACAAGCCCUCAGAUUUUAAGACUUCGGUGUGAUACUUGAUAUGUAAUGCUGAACUAAUCAUGUAUUUCGGAAUAGGCAAAACCUGCGUUCAUCUUCUAUUUUGGAGAACUCCACGUAGAUAUGGAAACUUAUGUUACCGAAAACUUUCUUGAAUCUGUUUAUUUUUCUUUUCUGAAAUUCUUCCCCUAUUUACCAUUACCUCUAACUACUUGCCUCCUGAAACGCAAACCUUUAGCCACUCUAUGUUCCUGUAUCUUAGAACAUGUGGUGUUUGCACAUUUCCUUUGUUAAACAUCCUCCCUACUCCCACUUCCCAUCAACUUCUGCCCUUCCUUGAAACUACACAGAAGUCAACUGCACCAGUAAGACUCCCCUAUAAGCCCUGUGGCCCACAGUUUUAGUCUAUUUUUGAGUCUAGAUUACCUGUAGUAUAGCAAUUAUCCCAGGCUAAAUGAUGCCAAGGUCCCUUCCCGCUCAAAGAGUCUGGCUCUUUGAACAGGGGAAUCUGGGCUUGAAGAAUGAAGAGAAACAACCAAGCCAUCAGCAGUAGCAUCUUCAUCAGGUUCUGCAUGAGGUAGACUGAAUGACAGAAUAUGACCUGGGUCAUUUCUGUGAAAACUAUAUUACUUAGAAUUAAGUCAGAAGUUUCAAUCCCAGCUGAUUAAUAAGAGAACCAGUUGAGAUUGCCAAACUUGUUCAGACUUGGAGACUUGCCAUUUUGGAGCUAGAUGAGAAAGAAUUCAACUCAGUGGUUGCAUAAGAAUGGGUCUGUGCAGAUGACAUGGAACAUGGUGGGUUGAAAGAAAAUGGGUGAAUAAAACCCUAGGCUAAGUGCUGAAGCUAAUAUUUACUGAUCACUCUCAUGGAGUCAGAUCCUAUGCUAAACACUUUGUCCAUUCAUCUUAUUUAAUCCUCACUGUGACUCUCUGUACAGAGGCUAAGUAGUGUGCCCAAGGUUUCACAGCUAGUAAGUACUAGAACUGGGUCUCAUUUCCAGGUCUAUUUGACUGCAAAGUCCAUAUUCUUGCUCACUAGGCUCUAGUAAGUCCCAGAAAGGAAUUGCCAAAAUCAUUUAGCCCUGUUUCUUGGUUCCAGGUACCUCAGCCACCCCAAACUGGCUAACUCCUUUCCCAUUAUUUUUAGGAUUACUGGGAAGAGAGGUCUGCAGCAUUCCUCAGUAACCUGUCUCAGUGCCUCUAAUAUCUGCAGCAAGAACAUUCUUCUUUGUGUUUCAUCUGAGUCCUCCCUACUUUUGUUUUAUCAUUCAUAGGUGAGAUAAGGCUCCGUUUAUACUUAUAAUUUCAGUGAAAGCAGGAGGCUGCAGAAACCACUGCCGUAAGAACUUUAAAUAUUCUAGUGCAUCUUCUGUUUGUCUGAGAGUUGUCAGGUUCCUCUAGCAGUGCAGUCUGGAGCCAUAUGAGGGGAGAUUAAUGAGGGGACAUGGGGGGUCAAGAAGCAAAUAUUCAUUAAAGAGAUCAGGAAAUGGGUUUGUCCUCAUUAAGGCAUAAUCACAGCAGACCAUAGAGCAUAGUGGAAUAUGAAGCUGUGGUUUAGCCAAGGAAAAUGCAAGGAACAAAUCUUAUAGACAUGGGAAACAGGAGCAGGAAACCUUAGCACUGUUAGGCUGAAGUUGUGUAACAGUCUUCUCCCCGUGGUCAUUUUGACUAAAUCAACUAAAACCAUGUCUAAUAUAUUUAGCACCUAUGAGGAACUCAUUUCUCCUCCCUCUCCUCUUCUUCUUGUGUGCAUGUGACUGGCUUACUGGACAACCUUUAUUUCAAAAGCAGUGUUGUGAGAACCCAGAAUAUGGCUCUUGCUCAAGAGCCUCUCCUCAAUCCUGAGUUGUAGCCCAAGACAUCACAGAUCACUGAGCUGGGGUGUGGGAGGUCCUCAAGCUCUUGUCUUAAUGCUGGUAGAGGGCAGAGCUCAGAUAUGAACACAGGCAGUUGAGCUCCAGAGCCUGUGCCCUUAAUCACUUCAUUGUUCCUCAGUUGAUUUGUGAUCGUGAUAUCCCUAAUCCCCUGACAAAAGAGAAGUACCCUUGGAGAUCUAGCCAGUGGUUUACAACCACUUGAAAAUUUCAAGCAGCAGAACUAGAUUUAUUACAAUUAAAACCUGACAUGGAACCUCAAUGUAUGAAACAGACAAAAGCAGAUGUAUGGUACUGAGGCUGUGGGGGGCCCAGGGUUUCUAAAGCCCUGCUUGCUUAACUCUGCCAAUCCCUAGGGUUCUGCAGAACACACAGUGAGAACUACAUCACUCUGUUAGCAACCAAGUAAAUUGAAAAUUGACAUGUAAUAGUAAAGUGACAUGUUUUUUCUUUUUAUCUCUUUGCAUUUCUUUCAACCAGAUAAGAGAAAUGAGACUCAGGACAAGUAGACAGAGCAAAGGGAAAGGGACAGAGCAAAGGGAAAGAGCCAGUGCACAGGGCGUUAUCAGAGAGCAGAGCUGAGCAAGGCACUGCAGUGGGGCAUCAUGGUCAAGGUGAGCCGUAUGAGAUCACCUGCAAGUACAGGAAAAAGGGACAGGCCAUUUGUGCCUAACACCAGCCCCAAGAACUUUUGAAGGAAAGGUAAAGACAGGAAACUGUGAACUGGGCCAACAUGUGAACAGCUUUCUGCCCUCUAGCAUCCCUUCUUUUUGUCUAUGCAACAAUCACAUGUACUUUGCACAAGCCCAGAAAUGGGAACCCGGUUUUCUGUCCUUUGCUUAUGUUUGUAACCUUUCCAAGCCUACCUCAGGAAGGAUGUCUAUUGAGCAGGUGGGUUUGUGAAAUUUCCAACAGGAGGAAGCCGUUUGCUACAACAACAGCUCAGAGGGUUCUUCUGCACUCCGCACUUCAGCAGUUGUGCCAGCUGGGUAAGGAAGAACACAAAGGGAACCAAAGCUGUGGGCUGGUGCAUUUGAGUCAGAGGCCUCUUUAAAUGUAAUUGAUGGAGAGAGAGAUUGAGAGAGGAUUAUAAUAGUCAGGCUGCCCAACUACUUACGUAACCACACUUAGUGAAGACUCCCCAGAUCCAGGAGCUGGAUUUUAAUUUGCCAUGCUCAGAAAUUCCAUUUUACCAAAGCACAUGCCCUGAUUUGGGCCAUUAUCAGUUUCCUGGAUAUUGUCCAUUUUCCUUUAAGCCAGUCUUCAUCCUUUCUUGCCCUGCCCUGUGCUUCAGGAGACUGGCACUUGGCUUCCAGUUGGCUUUGGCCAAUUGGAGGCACUGCGAGGAGAUCAUAGUGUGGCCAAGAAAGGAGGGCAGGGUAGUUAUUCCCCUACUUUCCUGCCUUCCAGGUAGUUAUGGGUUAGCUAUGUCCCUUUACUGAAGGCCUGCCGCUGUGGGGCCGUUUUCUUCCAUCCAGCUGUUCUCUCUGGGUGUCAGUAACUGCCCCUUCCUCUGGUCCCUUCAGGCUCGGGUUGGUAAGAGUUUCCCCCACUCUUAGCCCAGAAUACUGCAUUAUCUCAUGUAAGUUUUGCACACUUUAUAAAUCAUAGCUUUUUAAAAUUCAUGUUAAAAUAUCCAAUUGCAUAUGCCAUCUCAGAACACUUCUGCUAUUCAGUCAACAUCUGUCAAACUGACAGUAUGGAAACGAAGAUCAGAAUAACUGCCCCCCAAGACUGUGAUUUUAUCCCAUAACUUUAUUAGUUUAGAUUAUUGCAAAUAGUUUUUGUUUGUUUGUUUGUUUGUUUUGUUUUUUUAUUAUUUUUUUUUUUUUGAGUCGGAGUCUCACUCUGUCGUCCAGGCUGGAGUGCAGUGGUGCAAUCUUAGCUCACUGCAACUUCCACCUCCUUGGUUCAAGCAAUUCUCCCACCUCAGCCUCUCAAGUAGCUGGGACUACAGGCACACACCACCAUGCUGGCUGAUUUUUGUAUUCUUAGUAGAGACGGGAUUUUAUCAUGUUGGCCAGGCUGGUCUCAAACUCCUGAGGUCAAGUGAUCUGCUCGCCUCAGCCUCCCAAAGGACUGGGAUUACACAUGUGAGCCACCACACCUGGCCACAAAGAGAACUUUCCAAAGCUCUUAAAUUUGACCUAUGUACUAUGCUGCCAAUUUGAACAAGCUCCCUGCAGAUGAACGGUAGUGCCUGGGUAAUAACCUUGUUAAAUAUGUAUAGGUGUUAGAUAAGCUUACUUUUUCACUCAAUUGUGUAAGAACGUAAAACUAAAACUGUAUAAAAACAGUAAAUUAUUAAAAGUGACUAAAUAUUAAUAGGCUAUAGUACAGUAAUUCAGUGCACAGGCUUUAAGAUGAGACAGAUAGGGAUUCACAUCCAUUAACCGUGGCCUUUGGAAAGUUACUUCACCUCUCCAGUCUUGGGUUUCUCAUCCAUAAAAUCAUCAUGAUAAUUGAGUGCCCACUUCUUAACAGGUGUUGUGAAGAUUAAAUGAGAUUCAUAAAGUAUGAGUACUGUGGGCAUUUGAAAAAUACUAGCUAUUGUUGUUGCUAUUAAUUUUAAUUUGCAAUUCUGUAAUGACAUGAUAUUGAGCAUCUUUUCACAUUCUUAUUUGUGCACUGUAUAUCUUCUUUGGUGAGGCAUCUGCUCAGAUCUUUUGUCCAUUUUGUAUUUGGGUUGUUCAUUUUCUUAUUGUUGCAUUUUAAAUGUUCUUUUUAUUUUUAUAUGGCAGUUCUUUAUCAGAUAUGUCAUUUAUAAAAAUUUGCUUCCAGUAUGUGGCUUGUCUUCCCAUUCUCUUGAUACCACUGCUAUUAGUAAGUUAAAAUAAUGAUAUACUUUAAAUUAUCUCAGAGAGUUGUCAUGUGGAUUAUAUGGGUUUAUAUAUAUAUUUAAAUGGAGUUUUGCUCUUGUUGCCCAGGCUGGAGUGCAAUGGUGUGAUUUUAGCUCACUGCAACCUCUGCCUCCUGGUUUCAAGCGAUUCUCCUGCCUCAGCUUCCUGAGUAGCUGGGAUUAUAGACUCUCGCCACCACGCCGGCUAAUUUUUUUUUGUAUUUUUAGUAGAGAUGGAGUUUCACCAUGUUGGCCAGGCUGGUCUCAAACUCCUGACCUCAGGUGAUCCACCCGCCUCGGCCUCCCAAAGUGCUGGGCUCACAGGUGAGAGCCACUGCGCCCGGCCUAUAUAGGUUAAUGUUUUUAAAGUACUUAGAACAGUACCUGGCACAUAGUUACCAGCUAUAUGAAUGUUAACUAAUAUACAGAUAAUAGUUAAGUGUGAAUACCUAGAAAUAAUUUUAUUCCUUUCCCCCUAUCUUUUAAUUAUUCUCAGUCACUUUUCAAACUACCUUUGGAUUUCUUAAAUAGAAAUAGACCCUUCUAAAUUCUUCCUGAAUUUUUUCUUGGAGUCAAAAACCUUCCUAAGCACAUGUAAGGUUGUUUUAAGUUCUGAUUUUUUCUUUAAGAGAUGGGGUCUUGCUUUGCUGCCCAGACUGGAGUACAGUGUGAUGAUCAUAGCUCACUGUAGCCUCCAACUCCUGGGCUAAAGUGAGCCUCCUGCCUCUGCCUCCAGAGUAGCUGGAACUACAGGCACCUGCCCCUACAUUCACUGAAUUUUUAAAUUUUUUGUGGAGAUGGGGUCUCACUAUGUUGCCAAGGCUGGCCUCAAACUCCUGGCCUCAAGCAAUCCUCCUGCCUCAGCCUCCCAAAGUGUUGGGAUUACAGGUGUGAACCACCGCAUCCAGCCCUGAUUUUUAAGCAUUGGUCAGCUUGCUGUCAAAAGCUAUCUCGAGCAAGUUUUCUUGACUGUUUCAAUCCUCACACUCCCAAAUGAGAUCUUAGAUAUAUUUUUAAUAUAGUGAUACAGCAACUGAAACUUUGCUUACUAAUCCAUCCUCUCACCUUUACCCUACACCAGCAACAUAAGGCAGGGAAACAAGUGGUUAGGAAGAAGUGUCUAGGUCCGGAGCUGUUUAUUAUCUGGCAAUUUAGAGAUGAAUAUCCACUAGAGAGACAACUCAGAAAGGAAAAAUGCUUUCUUCACGAAAUGAGUCAAGAUUAGUGCUCUCAAAGUGUCAAAUUUAUGAUAACAGAGGAAUAUGAAUUUCUUAUUUAGACCAGAUAAAUGUUUUUAUGACAAUUAGUCCUUGAAUUCAUGACCUGUGUUUGGUUACAGAGAGUAAGGCACCCAUGGCCCGGAGUGACAUGCUGCUCUCCUUAUACUUCCUUCCCUUAUCCUCAGGACUUAAGCUUAAACUGCCUCCUUUCCUGUGGGAGCCAAUGGACCCUAACACCAGAACUCUCCCCUUCUGGCUGCAGAGCAGCAGUACUGAGUACAUGAGUCAAGCCACUGAUACCCCAUGGAGCUUGAGAAUGUGAAACUUACCAUAUACAAGAAAAAACUUAGGGAGACUGAAAUUUGACUAUUUCUCCAAGGAAGGUGGUAGAUUCCAAGAGAAAGGGGGAUUGGAUGGGGAAGCAGAAGGAGAAGAGGUUAAAAGGAGAAUAAAAAUGAGAGAGAAGAUAGGAAGAAAGGAAUGUCUAUGAGGGAUGCCCUCCGAAAGCAUAAGCAGUAAGAUCCAGCCCUUUGUAAAAGGUACAAAGGAGAAAAUUAUCUAAAAGAGGCACAACCCUUUAUCUCUACCUGUGUCUGCUUCCCUCUAUAUUAGCCACUAGUCUUUUAGAUGUAAGGGGUAGAGACUAAAACCAGCUGAAGUGAUAAAUGAAAUGUAUUGACUUAUAUAACCAAGAGGUCUAGAGGUGAUCUAACUUCAGGCCUGGCUGAGUCUAGGAUUUCAAAUUAUAAGGACUAUUAAUUUUUUGUCACCUCUUAGUUCUAUAGGUACCUGGGUCCAUUGGCUUCACUCAGAUUUUGUCCAUAUGACCCAAAGAUGAUCACCAAUUGUCCCUGGCUUAUACUAUCCUUAAAGAGAAAAGAGAGAACCUUCUCUCCCCACCACAUCAUUCAGUCCAUAUCAGUCCCUGAAGAGGAUUCUGCUGAGGUCACAUGCCCCAGUGUUCUAUAUCCAGGAGGAUGGGGUAUUCUGGUCGGUCAAGUGGAGUCAUGUGCCCACAGUAAUCAGCAGAUGUGGGGGAAGGACAUUUCCCAGAAGGAAGGCUUGAAGCACAGCCAUCCCAAACAGCCCCCAACUCCAUCUAGCUAGAAUACUUUUCUAAACUCCUCAAUAGAAGGCUGUUUUAACAUCCAUGGCCAGGCGCAGUGGCUCAUGCCGGGCCUGGUGGCUCACGUCUGUAAUCCCAGCACUUUGGGAGGCCAAGGCAGGUGGAUCACUUCAGGCCAGGAGUUCGAGACCAACCUGGGCAACAUGGUGAAACCCAGUCUUUAUGAAAAAUACAAAAAUUAGCCAGGCGUGGUGGCGAGCACCUGUAAUCCCAGCUGCUCUAUAGGCUGAGGCAUGAGAAUUGCUUGACCCUGGGAGGCAGAGGUUGCAGUGAGCUGAGAUCGCGCCACUGCACUCCAGCCUGGGUGACAAAGCGAGACUCCGUCUCAGAAAAAAAAAAGAAAAAGCCAUGGUGUUUUGGUGUACAUUUAGUAGGGGAAAGGAACACUGUGGGUUUGAUGCCAUGGUGGGCAUUGAGGACAGGGGUCAAGGGUCAGGGGUCAUCCUCUCAGGACUCUUUGCACUUCAUGGUGGACCACUAGAUGAUGAAGACAAUCUACACAGACAUUGCAAUUUAGAUUUUUUUAAAUCAAAGGGUCACUCAACUGUACCACCUCCCCAACUUGCCCUCCUUACCUCCCCAGCUAGUAACGAGAGACACACCUGUGAGACAGAAAAAGAAGGUCUCUUGACGCAGAUUAUGUAAUUACAUCAGCCAUGUUUAUUCUUUCAUACUCUCAGUUCCCUAAUUUCCUUUUCUCUUCAUUGGGGUAAAAACCAAAAAGACAGAAAGUAGAGGGACCGCAGCCAUAUUAUUCAUAAUUCCUCUGUGAUAACUCCAUGAUGCCCCUUAUUUUUAAGUGAGGGGGUUUUCUGACAGCUGGCUUUUUAAAUUCAUCUACUAGACAGUUUAAAUUUAAUGACCAAUUUCUUUUUAAUAAUCUUAGCAGGCCCCCCUAGAGUUUCAGCCAUUUAAACAGAACAUAACAGAAAUUUCCAAAGAAAUAAAAGGUGAUUUCUUUAUACAGCUUCUCACAUUCAAACACAUUUGCAUACAUGGCCCAUCUGAAAAGCUAGAACUAAUGAAAUUAUGAAUGAGAUUCUCAUUUUUCUAUUCUCAGAAUCCUCUCCCUCCUGGCAUCUUUCAAAACUCUAAUCUGAAAUUAUUCCCUCCAGGAAGUUAUCCUUGAUUAAUCACUCCCAACUCUAAUUAUGUAUUUCUUCAUUAUAUAAACAAGAGCUGUGGAUACAGUUCCAGUUAGGUUCACCUUCUCUCGUUCAUAUAUGGAUUUAAAGUUUCCUGAGUCUUGGGAUGUGAGUGUGUUCUUGGGCAGGGAUGUCUUCUGUCUCUGUGUAGCCAUUCCUUCCCUCUACCCUCAUCCCCAGGACUGCUUUAAGCAAAGACAAAAGAGGAACUUAUUUACUGGUGUAAUAAAAAAUCCUGGGCCCUGCAAAUUGCCAGAACUGAAGUGAAAUUUGAGCUCUGCUGAUACUAGCGGUAUGGGGGAAAAGUUAAUUUUUUUAAAGCUUGAUUUUCUUACGUGAAAAAAUGAUAAAUUCUUUAGAGCUCUUGUGAUAAGAUAUGUAUUCAAAAACACUUAAGGAUGCUUGUAGAUCUUUUUAAAAGUAUUUGUUUCCUUAGUGAUAUGAUUGCAGAAGCUACUGAGUCCAUGAAAUAUAUUUUUCAUCUGUUGUUGACAUCUGAAAUUCUUUUCCAGAAGACAAAAGCCAUUUAUGCCAAAUUAGAAAUAAGAUUGAGGCCAGGCACAGUGGCUCACACCUAUAAUCUCAACACUUUGGGAGGCUGAGGCAGGUGGAUGACUUGAGCCCAGGAGGUCGAGACCACCGUGGGCAACAUGGCAAAGCCCUGUCUCUACCAAAAAAAAAAAAAAAGUACAAAAAUCAGCUGGGUGUAGCCUGUGGUCCCAGCUACUUGAGGUGGGAGGAUUGCUUGAUCCUGGGAGGCAAAGGUUGCAGUGAACCAAAAUCAUGCCACUGCACUCUAGCCUGGAUGACAGAGUGAGACCUUGUCUCAAAAAAAAAAGAAAAAGAAAAAGAAAUAAGGUUGAAAUUGCAAAUAAUCUUGGCGUAAGUAACAAUGAACUUAAAUACAUUCACUCUGCCAGGCAUGAUAAAUACCUGGCCAUACAUCCCUUCACUGAUCCUUCCCCUACCCGUGAUUGACACCAUAAAUUGGUCGGAAUAGAGUGUCCCACUCAGCCCACUGCGUGCCUCAGAACUCUCAACACAGGGCUCUCUAGACAGACACUACCCAUCAAUUAGAGUUUGGGAGGGUCCAGUCGUGCUAAGACAUACAUCAUUGACACCGUUACUCUCUGAAGAGCAGGGUUUGCUUAGAGGAUGAGGAGAAGAUUAAAGGAAGGGAUAAAAGAGCAGCCACUGCUGGAUGUGGUAGUGACAAAGGGUACUAGGAAAGAAGGUGCAAUUUCUCUAGCCUGAUAAGUUUUCUAAGAUGUCCCCAUGACCCAGAGAGGCAUUGCUCAGGGCCCAAGUGAAAGGUUUGGCCCAUGAACACGCUGCUUCUUGACCUAGCUCCUCAUUUUCACAUCUUCGCUGUCCUUACUCUUCGUUGUCAACGUUGACCCACUUCUCCGUUCCAAAGUCCCCCAUGUAUAACUCCUUUGGUUCUGAGAGGAAAUAGGGGGUGGGUUAUCUCUAAGGUCUACUCCAAGUCCAGACCCUGCGCUCCAUGUUGCUGACUCAGGGUCCAUUCUCCACUCAGCUUUCCCUUCUGGAUUGACACUUCCACCAGCGGAUUCCCAAUAACCGGCUGAUGAUGAGCAAGCCCUGGCAAGCCUCUCCACACCCCGACCCCACAGGCUUCUGCCACCAGGCAUAGUCUGAUAAGUGGUGGGAUGAGAUGUAGACUAAAAUGGUGAGCCUCGUAAUGUUGCCUUGAUCCUCACGAGCCUGGAUGAGGCCAUCCACAGAGUGACAGCCAAAUACAUGGAGGUCAACUCAAAGUGACUUAGGGGUGGCUAAAGUUAAUGACUGUUGAGUAUAAUUAUCUCUCCUACAAAUGAACUGUGUGUUUACAAGCUUAUCAGGUCUCUUUUCUGAACCUUGGUUUUCUGCUCUGAUCAGCGAGGAGGGCUGAACUACUGUGGAGAAACAAACCCCAAGGCUCUGUAGAGAAUGGAUGGGCCAUGGGUGGGCUCUGUGGGGAGACAUUCCAGGGCUCCCUAGCUGUGGGAAAGAGUCCAGGAGCUAGUACAGUUUUGCCUGCCCUUUGUUUUCACCAAUUCUCAUCAGAUUCAAGAGAAGCUCUUCUCACAGUAGGGUAGUGCCAAGAAGAGUCAGAUGUGAAUACCUCACAUCACUCUUCAUCCAUCCAUUCAUCAGUCCAUCCAUCCAUCGUUUUCAUUCAUUCUAUACAUACAUACAUUAUUGUAUACAUAUAUCCGUUCUAUACAUUAUUCAUAUGUAAAUAUGAAAAUACGUAAAUAUGAAUAACAUGUCAGGGCACUGGGAUACAAUAAUAAAUAUGCAUAUUUAUUCAUAUGUAAAUAUGUAAAUAUGAAUAAUAUGUCAGGGCACUGGGAUGCAAUAAUAAACUAAUCAGAUGUCACCACCACCUUAGGGAGCUACAGUUUAUUGUAGGUAUAGACAAUAAGCAAGUGAGGUGACAAAUAAACUAAUUACUAAUUGUGAAGUUCCUGAGGAAACAAACAGGGUGGUAUGAUAGAAAAUGGUCAGGUGCCCAACGCCCCGCACCCCCGCCGGCCGCACUUAGCGGAGCUUUGCUGGGGAGGCGCCGGCGCGGCGGCUGCGCAGCUCGAAGUUUCCGCGCGAGGUGGGCGGGCCGGGCUGGGCCGGGCGCUGCGGGGCCGGGACCUGGUCUUGGAGCUCUGCGACCGCGCGCUCGCCCUCCCGCGGCGUUUGCAGGCGCCGCCGCCCCUUCCGCCCCUUGCGCGGGACUGCGACCUGAAAAAGUGACUUUUACUCAUGUGAGCUGCCUUCAGAGAAGCCUCCUCCAGAAACAGGAGAAUGCGUGGCUCUCUAGUGUGGUCCCAUCUCUGCAGGGUUUGUGGAUGUUAAGGGUCCCAAACCUGCACCCGAUGUCACAGGCACAUUACUGCCGUAAGGAGCAUGGAUGCCACACUGGAGAUUGACACAGGAGCAGGCUCGGACACAAUAGGAGUUUGCACGAUGCAGGUCCUUUUUUUUCCCCAGAAUUUGACAUUGUAGCAGAAACAGAAAAUGAGAUUACACAUGAAAUUGUGGAAAAGGAGGGCGACUCAGAGAUCACAGGGAGCGUGGGUGAAGCCCUGGAGAAGGGACUGGAUUCCAUGGUGAAGCGCGAAUCCGGGAUAGACACAAUUUCCCAGAAGUUUAGCACUCAACUACCCCUUGAACCAGAACGGAUUCUCAGAUAAAGGCAGAGGGCUUGCUGCCAUUUGGACUUCUGGUGAAAAUAUCUUUCAAGAAAAGGGUAUUCCAGACUGCCUCUGUGUUGCCAAGAGAAUGUUUGAAUUCCAGGCCCUGCAGCUGGCCCUGAAUCGCCUGAAGGCCACAGACCAGGCAGGAGUGCUGACCGCGCGGCCUCCUGGACGGCUUGUCCUGCGAGGAACACUGAAGCUUAGGAGAAUUUGUAAGGACGCAAGAUGUAACAGAUCCUACCCAAAGACAACAUCUUAAAGCCUUAAGAACGUUAAUAAUCUUAUACCUUGCAAUUCCAUUUCUAGGACUUUCUCCUAAGGAAAUAAUUAUAUCAGAGAUAGAGGUACAAAGAUAUUGCUUGAAGCAUUGUUUACAAUGUCUGAAUAUUAGUAAAACAAAAAAAAUGUCCAAUGACGGAAUUAAAGAGAUUUUGGUACACACACCCACACGAAGAAGGAAAAACAUGAGCAACCUCCUUUGGACAGAUGGGACUGUGCAAUGCCUCUCUAAGAAGGUGACAUUUGGGUCGGCAUCUAAAGAAUGGUCUUUAGGAACCAGCCACACAAAUGGGCAAGAGGAAGCAAGUAGGAAAGGUUCAGGCCAGAAGGAAUUAAGCGCCUAAGAAGUUAAACAAAACCCAGUGGGGCUGGAGCAAAGGAAGCUGGGGAAAGUGACUGAUAUAGUUUGAAUAUUUGUCCCCACCCAGAUCUCCUGUUGAGAUGUAAUCUCCACUGUGGGAGGUGGGGCCUGCUGGGAGGUGUUUGGAUCCUGGGGGCAGAUACUGCAUGAAUGGCUUGGGCCAUCCUCUUGGUGAUGAGUGAGCUCUAGCUCUGAGUUCACAGGAGAUCUGAUUGUUGAAAAGUGUGUGUGGCGGGGCUUGGUGGCUCACGCCUGUAAUCCCAACACUUUGGGAGUCCGAGGUGGGUGAAUCAUGAGGUCAAGAGAUCGAGACCGUCCUGGCCAACAUGGUGAAACCCUCACAUGGUGAAACCCAGUCUCUACUAAAAAUACAAAAAUUAGCUGGGCUUGGUGGCGUGCGCCUGUUGUCCCAGCUACUUGGGAGGCUUAGGCAGGAGAAUCUCUUGAACCCAGGAGGCGGUUCAAGAGGUUGCAAUUAGCCGAGAUUGCGCCACUGCACUCCAGCCCGGCAACAGAGCGAGACUCUGUCUCAAAAAAAAAAAAAAAGUGUGUGGCACCUCACCCAUUCCAAUUCUCUGUCUCUUCUCUCUCACUUGUUCCUGCUUUUGCCAUGUGACCUGCCUGCUCCCCCUUUGCCUUCUGCCGUGAUUGGAAGCUUCCUGAGGCCUCCCUAGAAGCUGAGCAGGUGCCAGCACCAUGCUUCCUGUACAGCCUGCAGAACCAUGAGCCAGUUAAGCCUCUUGACCAAUUAAAUGGCCUAAUGUACUGACAACGGAUGAAUGUGAAGAGGUGAACAGAACUGCAGCCCACAGAAUUCUGGGGCCUAUAAUAGGAAAUUUGGGUAGAUAUUGAAGUGCUUUUAGGCAGGGUAGUUGUAUUAGGCCAUUUUUGUGUUGCUAUAAAGAAGUAUCUGAGGCUUGGUAAAUUCAUAAAGAAAAGAGACUUAAUUGGCUCACAGUUCUGCAAACAGUACAAGAAACAUGGUGCCAGCAUCUGCUUCUAGCAAAGGCUUCAGGAAGCUUCCAACCAUGGUGGAAGGUGAAGGGGUAGCAGGCAUGUCAUACAGUAAGAACAGGAGCAAGAGAGAAGGUAUGGACAAGGUGCCACGUACAUUUUUUUUUUUUUUUUUUUGAGACUGUGUCUCCCUCUGUCACCCGGGCUGAAGUGCAGUGCCAUGGUCUUGGCUCACUGCAACCUUGACCUCCCGGCUCAAGCAACUCCCCCCGCUCAGCCUCCCGAGUAGCUAGGAUCACAGGUGGAUGCCACCGUGCCCAGCUAAUUUUCUUGAUUUUUUUAUAGAGACAAGGUCUCGCCAUGUUGCACAGUCUGGUCCUGAACUCCUGGUUUCAAGUGAUCUUCCUACCUCAGCCUCCCAAAAUGCUGGGAUUACAGGCAUGAGCCACCAUGCCCAGACGCCACACACUUUUAAACAACCAGAUCUCACAAGCACUCACUCACUAUAGUGAGGACAGCACCAAACCAUGAGGGAUCUGCUCCCAUGACCCGAACACCUACCGUCAGGCCCCACCUCCAACAUUGGGGAUUACAUCUCAACAUGAGAUUUGGAGGGGACAAAUAUUAAAAUCCCUCUCUGGUAACUGUGUGCAAAUUGGGUAGGAAUGGGUCAAGAAUAGAAGAGAGGACACCAGUUAAGAGACUAAAUGAGAGGGAAUAGUGGCUGAGAGAAUAGUCUGGAGAAGGGGACCGUCAUGUAUGUUCUGGAGGUUGACACUGUAGGACUUGCUGAUGCACUGAGAGUAGGGCAUCAGGGGGAGAGAUAAGAGUUGACUCCAUGCUUCCAGAUCAUCGUGCCAUUGACUCAGAUGAAGGUUCUCAGGAGAAGAACCAUCAGGGGCAGGGGUGUGUAACUUUUUGCAGAACAGGUUUGUAUGUCUUUCAGUGGCCAAUUUCUUCUAUCCAGGGGGAAUUCUGGGGAUGAACUGAGAGAAAAGCAAGAUUGAGAACAAAAGGGAAUGUGUGCUUUAUCUUUGACUGAUUGGUUGAUUGAUUCAUUGAUUCAUUCAUUCAACAGAUAUAUGUUGGAUACCAAUCAUGUGCCAGACUUGUCAUGUGUGAUAAGUGCUAUGAAUAAAGCGAUGUGAGGAGUAAAGAAUUAAGAGACAGUGUGUGUGAAUGUGUAGGAGGUGGUUUGCUGUUGUAUAUAUGGUGGUUAGUCAAAGCCUCUCUGAUAAGGUGACAUUUGAUUGGAAAGCUGAAGGAGGUGAGGAAGUAAACCACCUGCAUAUCUGGGGGCAUCCUAGGCAAAGGAACUAUGAGUGCAAAGGCCCUGCUUGUUUUGUUCCUGGAGCAGCAGGGAGGCCUGUGUGGGUAGAGUGGAGUGAUGGAGGGGUGCACAGUGGGAGGUGAGGCCAGAGAGGUAGUGGGGGCCAGGUCUUAUAGGGCCUUAGAAGGUCAUUAUAAGAAAUUUGGAUUUGACUGUGGGUGAGAUGGGGAGCCACUGGAAUGUUUCUACCUUUAUUGAGGACCCACUAACGAGUCCCAUUUGCAUUCCUUGUUCCUAUUAAAUGAAGAGAGUUUCAACCUUGGCUAGUUUGCAGUGAAGCAUAAGAAAUAGAUCAAUAUCUCACACUAUUAGGAUGUCUACUGUCAAGAAAAAUAGAAAAUAAGUGUUGGUGAGGAUGUGGAAAAAUUGGAACCUUUGUGCAAUCUUGAUGGGAAUGUAAAAUGGUGCAGCAGUUAUGGAAAACGAUAUGGAGGUUCUUCAAAAAAUUAAAAAAUAAGAUUACCAUAUAAUCCAGCAAUCCCACCUCCGAGUAUAUAUUCCAAAAGAAUUGAAAGCAUAGCCUUGAAGAGAGAUUAGUACACCCAUGUUCAUAGUAGCAUUAUUCAAAAUAGCUAAUAGGUGGAAGCCACUCAGCUGUCCAUGGAUGGAAGAAUGGAUGAACAAAAUGUGCUAUAUACAAACGGAGAAAUAUUAUUCAGCCUUGAAAAGAAAGGAAAUCUGGUCAGGCAUGGUGGCUCAUGCCUGUAAUCCCAACACUUUGGAAGGUCGAGGCAGGCAGAUUGCUUGAAGCCAAGAGUUCGAGACCAGCCUGGGCAACAUAGUGAGUCCCUGUCUCUAUAAAAUUUUAAAAAAUUAGUCAGGCAUGGUGGCACGUGCUUGUAGCCAUAGCUACUCAGGAAGCUGAGGCAGGAGCAUUGCUUGAGCACAAGAUUUGGAAACUGAAGUGACCUAUGAUCAUGCCACUGCACCCAGCCUGAGCAACCGAGCAAGACCCUGUCUCUAAAAAAAGAAAGGAAAUCCUGUCACAUGCUGCAACAUGAAUGAAUCUUGACGACAUUAUGCUAAGUGAAAUAAGCCAGUCACAGAAAGAACAAAUACUAUAUGAUUUCACUUAUAUGAGGUAUCAAAUGUAACUAAGUCCAUAGAGACAGAAAGUAGUAUGGUGGUUGCCAGAGGCUGGAGGCAGAAGGAAUAGAGUUGUUGUUUAACGGGUAUAGUUUCAGUUUUGCAAGAUGAAAACAUUUUGGAGACUGCACAAUGUGAAUAUACUUAACACUGCUGAACUCUACACUUAAAAGGGGUUAAGAUGGUAAACUUUAUAUUAUGUAUAUUUUAGCACCGUUAAAAAAACUUAUUAUUGGAAAAUAAUGACUUCUUAAAUCAAGAUUAAUAGCAUGUAACCCACACACUACUUUGUUUGAAAAAAAAAAAGAUCAAGAAUAAUGACAUAAGUGUAUGUACAUAUUAAUAAAAACUGCCUAAGCCAAAAAAUAUCAAGUAUCUCUUACGUAAGCCAUUUCACCCCUAAGCAGCUUGAGAUAUAAUAUCUGCAGGUGGCAAAUUCUGCUAUCAGGGACACAAUUUAGGAAAAAUGGGAAAGCAUCCAUCAUUCUUUCAAAGUUUCUCAACUACCAAAAAUCUUAUCCAUUCCAUUCAACCAAACAGCAUGUAUUGACCCUUGACUACAUUUAUAGCAAUAUGCUAGGUACCAUGGACAUAUACAGACAGAUAAGACACCCACCAAAACUUCUCUCUCCCCUUUCCCUCUCUCUGAGUCAAAAAUCUCUUCCUUCCCUUUGAUCUUUGCCUAAUUUUCUCUUUGCCACGCCUAAGAUAUGGUUUCUUUGCUCAUACAGUCUUGGUCCAUGUUUCUCUGAGCCUCUGAGACCUGGAAAAUUGAUAUUGGCUGGUUGUUGGUAGAACUAUUUGCUCUUCUUGAGUGUCAUUUUUCCUUGCUACCAUCCUUAGUAGGCUGCAGGCUAACCCUUCAUUUCCUUUUAGGUGCUGCUUCAAUUCCUCUUGCCUCUGAUAAUUCUCAAAGAAGACCUACAAUAUAUUCAGGCCACUGCCCAAUUUUAGAGACAUUUCCACCCUAGUUGUCAUGGUCAAUGUCUGAGCUUUAAUGCUUCCUCCUGAGCCGUGGUUCAUCCAGCUAAGUCAUGCUUAAUGAUAAUUAGAAAAGAGGUGACCGACAGGGGGAUUUGAGUCCAUGGCUUAGUCAUCAGGGAGAGAUAUUUUUUACUGCUAACUCAUAUGACAAAUCUGUGAAGCACUGUUGGCUACCGUAAUUUAUUUUAUUGAAGUAAGAGGUUGUGUUUUUUCUAACUUUUCAGUUGAGCUUACUGACCUGUAUAAAGUCAGCAAAAUCAGGUAAUUUUGUGUACGCAUCUUUGUAGAAUCUACACUAAAUACUGGCAAUUGAGAUGAAGUGGAUACAGUUGGUGUUCUUUAAAUAUUUACAUCCCAAAGCUGAUACAAUCACAAAACAGUUCACCACAAUGCCAUGAAAUAUUGUAUGCUCAUGGAUUAUAAUGACUGAUUAAUUCACAAUUGCUUCCCAGGUAAGUUUUAGAAACUAAGCACCAAGGCUCCCCUCUUUGCAGACCUACUGGCCUACCCUGGAAUUGCCAGGUGCUCAGCCACUGAUCACAAUAACAGUGAGAACAUUCAGUAGCACCUUCCUAAGUCUUUGGCUUAGUUUUCCAACUGUUGUACUCUGGACUCCCCUCUUUAGUGACUGGUAACUUGGCGUUUUAAUUCAAUAUUAGGCUUCAGAUGGCUAUAAUGUGUUAAGUAACUCUUUUUCACAAUGCACAUUUAUUGAGUUCUCUCUUAAUAUUCAUCAGACAUUCCUUAAGAGGCCUCUCAAUGGCAUGGAAAGGCAAUCUGGUUUUGCAGCACAUAUCUGCACACAUCUGUCCAUUCCUCAGGAGAACUAUAACCACAGCCUGAGUCCCUCCAUUUUUCCAUAUUGCCUUUGGGAGCAAAUUUUAAAAACUUAAUCCUGCAUUUGAUAGGUCACUAGCAUUUAUCUGAGUAACAAGGCCAGUUUCCUGCUGUGCUAAACCUUUCAAAAUCAUACAAAGCUUCACCUGUAUGUUCCUAAUCCCACUUCCACAUCCUGGCAUGGAGUUUGAUGUCAUAGCCACAUUGCAUGGGUUUAUCCUGCAGAGUGCAAGAGGAAAAUCAUUCUGGAUUUUAGAGAAGAAAAUCCAAGACAAGAAACAGAGGUAGCAAGAGAGAGAUGUCACUGGUGCACCACUAAAGAAAAACCUCAAGCUGCCAACGUCAGCUCUACAGAGAAAUGGGGACUGAAACCAAAGAGAGGGAUUUCAGACCUGUGUCAGCUGAAAUCUAAAAUGCAGUCAUUCAUUUAGACAAUAGCUAGGAAGUUAUUUUUAUGUAUCAGUGACUUUGAAAAUGCAAUAUCAAUCAUGGUGUUAUUUCUCUUGGACCUGGGGCGAAAGGACUCAAGUGGAAGGUUCCCAUUACCACAGCGGUAUUUCAGGGAGUGAGGAAUUUGGGAGGGAGGAAAAACAGUAUGUCCCUCAUCUGGGGAUUUUCUCUCCUCAUAACUGAUCUUUUAAAAUCCUUUAUGUAGGGAUUUUGCAAACUGACUAUGAAAAGGAAAGCCCCACUAUCUCUUACUGUGCCAUCAACUCACACUGUAAAAGGAGCAAAAAGUGUUUUAAAAGCCAAUUUGACCAGAGCUGACUUAUUUUACUUUGUUUAUCGACAGAUGUCAAUAUCUUUAUAUUUCUUAUCUCCCCAGUGGACUGUAAGCUUCGGGAAAGGCAAUAGCUCUGGAAUAGUUACUGCGCUACUGGAGUAGUGCCCAUCAGACUGUGUGUAAAUGAGACUUGGCUGUCAGUCACCCUGGGAGGCGAUGCACAUUCAUUCUCAGGAUGCUGCUAUUGCUCAACUGAUUUUUAGAACUCUGAGAGGGAAGAAUUUUCUAACCCUUUCCAUUUGCCUUUAGAAUUGGUUCAUAUGUCACCCCAAAAUCAAUUUUUUAUACUUUAUAAUCAUCAUAUUCCUUUUUUUUUUUGAGAUAGAGUCUUGCUUUAUUGCCCAGGCUGGAGUGCAGUGGCGCGAUGUGGGCUCACUGCAACCUCCGCCUCCUGGGUUCAAGCGAUUCACCUGCCUCAUUCUCCCAAGUAGCUGGGAUUACAGGCAUGAGCCACCAUGCCUGGCUAAUUUUUGUAUUUUUAGUAGAGACUGGGUUUCACUAUGUUGGCCAAGUUGAUCUCAAACUCCUGACCUCAAGUGAUCUGCCCGCCUUGGCCUCCCAAAAUGCUGGAAUUACACGAGUGAGCCAUGUCUAGCCACAUUUCAUUUUUCAAAAAAGCUUUAUUGAGGUAUAAUUUACAUAUAAUAAAAUGCACUCACUUUAAGUGUACGAUUAGAUGAUUUUUAGUAAAGUCACAAGUAUGCAACCCUCACCACAAUCCAAUUUUAGAACACCUCCAUCGCCUAUUCCCAUCCCUAGCCCCGGGCAACCACUAGUCUACUUUCUGUCUGCAUAGAUUUGCCUUUUCUGGAUACCUCGUAUAAAUGGAAUCCUAUCAUAUAUGAUCUUUUGCGACUGGCUUAUUUUGCUUAGCAUAAUGUUUUCAAGGUUCAUCCAUGUUGUAGUGAUGCAGAUGCACCCCAAAACUGGAGCUUAGCUUGGUGGGUUCUUGGUUUCACUCAGAAAAGAAUUCAAGAAUCAGCUGACAGUGAAAGAAAGCAAGUUUAUUAGAGCAACAGUGUACAUCACAAUGGCUGCUCCAUAGAGCAGGGCUAACCCAUAGGCAGAGCAGGGCUAACCCGUAGGCAGAGCAGGGCUAACCCGUAGACAGAGUGGCCCAGAGCAGCAGUGUACAGCAAGGUGGCCACUCCAUAGGCAGAGCAGUGCUGUCCCAUAAACAGAGCAGCCUAGAGCAGCAGCAGCAGCUGCAGUCCCAAGCAGGAGCAACAGCUGCCACAGCUGUCACAGAUUGCUGGCCAGCUAUAUUUUUGCCUACUCUUAACUAAGUGCUAAUUAUGGGAUUAUUCAGAAUUUUCUCGAAAAGGGGCGGGGAAGUUCCUGGAACCAUGUAAGGCAACUUCCCACUCGUUACCAUGGCAUUUGUAAACUGUCUUGGCACUAGUGGGAGUGUCUUUAUGCUAAGGAGCAGUGAGGGCAACUAGAGGUUGCUUUCGUCACCAUCUGCUGGUUUCCGCCAGUUCCUCUGCUACAUCCUGUUUUGAUCAGAAGGGUCUGAUUGGAAAACAAGUCCAUCUACCUCAGUAGCAUGUAUGAGUACCUCAUUUCUUUUUAGGGCUGAAUAAUAUUCCAUUGUAUGGAUAUUAUCACAUUUUGCAUAGGCAUGGACAUUGGAGUUGUUUCCAGUUCAGGGUUAUUAUGAAUAAAACUACUCUGAAUAUUCACAUAUGUUUUUGUGUGGACUUAUUUUUUUAAAAUCAGAAAAUAUAUUCCUCAAUUUUAUCUUGCCUCUACUCUCAGUGGCUUCGCAACAUUGAACAUAUUCAAAAGAAUGAACCAUAGGCUCUGAGGUGAUGCCCAAAGAAAAGAUGUUCUAAAAAUACUUUCUACGCAGAUAACACCAUUGGAUUAAGAAUAUUAUCUCCUGAAGGCCGGGUGUGGUGGCUCACGCCUGUAAUCCCAGCACUUUGGGAAGCCGAGGUGGGAGAAUCACAAGGUCAGGAGUUCGAGACAAGCUUGACCAACAGGGUGAAAUUCCGUCUCUACUAAAAAUACGAAAAUUAACCAGGCGUGGUGGUGUGUGCCUGUAAUCCCAGCUAGGAGAAUCACUUGAACCCGGGAGGAGGGGUUGCAGUGAGCUGAAAUUGCACCACUGCACUCCAGCCUGGGCAAUAGAGUAAGACUCCAUCUCAGAAAAAAAAAAAAAAAAAAGAGUAUUAUCUCCUGAAAUAAUUGUUCUAAAGAUGACAAUACUCAUUUGAUAUAUAAACAUAGGUGUAUUGUUUGUAAAUAGUUAAUCUCAUGUGUACAACUUAAUUACAGCACGCUUGUGAAUCUGCAACAGUUUAGCACAGUAUUUUGCAGAUAGAAGCUGCUUGAUAAAUAUUUGCUGACUGAGUUUUUAAAUGCCCAUAGUGGUUCCUCUUGGAAAGUAAAAUAUCAAAAGUUUCAAUGUUUAACAGCCUUUUCCCAUUUUGUAUAAACAAAGCCAAAGCCCUCCGAGAGAACAUGACAAGCUAUCCAAAGAGCUCCAAGUCACAAUUAUCUAUCAGACAGCCUUAUUGAUCUUCCUUCAACUUGAGAGGCCUCAGGCAAAGCAAUUGCUCUGUAGGCUUGGAGGGGCAGGAAGCAUUUGUGUGGGGCCUGUGGGAGCAUUGGUUUCACCACUGAAUUAUGCCUCCAUGAGAAACAGCCAGAGGAGCCCAGCUCUUCUCGGCAAGGGCCCUGCCCCUUGCUGGCACGUUUUCUUAGAAGUUGACUGGCCCGGAUCCAACAUUGGCUAACUUCCUCUCGGUUGCUCCCUUGCACACUGUUCCAAGCCUGUGUGGUCAGAUUUGGGCUGUUAACUCAACAGACUCCAACCACAAGGAAACUAGAACCACCCGGUGUCCCCUCUUGCUGACAUUCUAGCCACCUUGUUGGCUCUGGGCAGCUGUGAAUGCAUCUGGGCCUGUGGUCUGUGGGCUCUGAGGCAGCACUCAAUGAAAUCCCAUCUUUAAUUGGACAAAUGAAGUGUCCUCCUCUGGGUUUCCCCAGUGCUCAAGAAAACAGUGUAUGAGAAAUGUAGCCAGCGUGUCCACCCACAGCAUGAGCUCUUGUGUGCCUCUUCCUUAGAAUGGCCGCCCAGGCAGUAGGACCACAGCCCCCAGCACAGGAGAACCCUUCAUCCAGGUGUUCAAUGCCUCAAUAGUUUUCCACUGUCAUGUAAUCAUAAGUUGAUUCUGUUUUAAUUUUCAAAGCACUUUUUCAAAUAGAUAUCAAGUCACUAUUAGCACAGAUUUUAUAACAUUUUAAAA
rnacentral:lncRNA from 1 species